UCUAGGGGCAUGACUCCUGCGAUGAUGGA
rnacentral:piRNA from 1 species